rnacentral:ncRNA from 1 species
CAGGGAGCUCGUGAGCGGGCUGAGAGGAAGUAAUCAACUUCGACCUAUAUAACCUGAUUUGGGUAAUGCCAACGUAGGGAAAUAGUGAUU